AGCCACAGCAUAUCACCCUGCAGCCCAAAUACUGGUUACUUACUGAAGCUAAGCAGGGUUGAGCCUGGUCAGUACCUGGAUGGGAAACCACAUGGGAAGACUAGGUUGCUGUUGGAA
rnacentral:rRNA from 1 species